rnacentral:lncRNA from 1 species
AAAGGAGGCAAUGAUGCUCACAUCCAAGGAUCAUGUUCAAGACUUAAAGAGACAGAAAACAAAACCUAGUGUUUCGUGUGUCUUGUUUGGCACACUCCCCUUGCCUCUUUCAUGCUGUCAAUGUGAUGGCUCUGGCAGGACAGAGUGGACAUGAGCACAUGAAAAGAAGGAUAGGAUACUUUUCGAGGUAAUAGGAAGUGAAGAAUCUCACAUUUCCAUUAUGUCUAUGCAUUCAUGGGUCUCACUGUGUGUGUUCAGGGGAAUGUGAUGAACUGGGAAGAGGAAGACCAUCAUUGCAUAACUUCCACUGAUGGAGUCUGCACAGUAUAAAAGCAAAGGAUUUAAUCUCUGCAUCCCAGAAGCUGGAGCUGGUAGAGAAGAAUACAUUGUGAUGUGACAUCUGUCAGACAGAAAGGGUGACUAGAACAUGGUGACAUUAUGGGUAAGUCACUUGUCUUCCUGCAUCCUUAUCCAUUAAGGGUGAUAACACUCUCCAGUCUUUUGUUCAUCAGCAAACCUUUGAGGCAUCAAUGCCUUGUCAUCUCAGAUGGAUGGUAGGACCAUGUACUUUGCAGUAAAUUGUAUUAUAUCAGCUGUUCCAGGACUUGCUGGUCGGUGUUAUACUGGAGGUACUCUGAUCUGGUGAGUGCCUGCAUGUCUAAACUUUCUGAUAUUACUGUGAAUAUAUUCCCUUCACUUGAACCCUUAUAAGAACAGAGUCUCCAAUACAUUUUCUCUAUGUCUAAAGAGGACCACAUCAUAUCCCAUCCCAUUAUAUUUCUUUCAUGAACUAUCACACAGAACUGAGAAAUAUGAAGAGAAAAGCAAAUGUGUGCCUUUUUUCAUCAUUUGUUUCCAAUACUGCCUCUGUGCAAUGACCUUCAGGUAUUCCACCCUGGGUCUUCCUUCUUUUCAAGCGUCCAGAGGAGGUGGGAACAGCAGCUUCAAAUGGGCAGACUGCACACACAGGCAGGGUCUGUGCACUCAGUGGAAAUCUGUGACUGGGAACCUGUCCUGAAUCCAGGACCUGUUCUCCAUCUUUUCCGGCAACACCUCUCCUUGCUCCUUAGCCACCAUUUCUUUUCAAGGCUUGGGCUCCAAUUCCAGAUGCUCCCUUGGAGUCUAUGAUUUUCCCAGUUCUGGCAGCAGCUCAAGACCUCCCCUUGGAGAUUACAAUGUUUUGGGGAGUGGGAAUGGCAGAAGAGUUUUCCACGCCCUCUCUUUCAGGGAUUCUCUAUGCCUGAGUCUGAGAUGAGGACCCUGAAGCAGGGCAGAGAAUGGUCAGUGAGGGGAGGCUGGGUAUUCUGGUGGGGUGUGGAGGUCAGGCAGGUGUAACUGGGAGGUUCUGACUUCUCUACCUACCUUGCCUUUAAAUACAUCUGAAUAUGCCCCCUAAUCUGUGACAUACUCUUACCUGCCAUGUUGAUUUUCAGUUUUUUUCUUUCACAUUUUCCUGCUAGGACAAUUUAUUUCAUUCCCUGUAUAAGUGUAGGUGUACCAUGUGGGCACCUGGAAUCCCAAGAAGUCAGACAUGGAAGGAAUGGCACCAGAUUCCUUGAACUGUAAUUAUACAAGGUUGUGAGCCUGUUGGUGAAUGCUGGGAACCAAACCUGGGUGUUCUGCAAGAACAAGUGCUCUAAAGGCAUUAGCAUUGUCUUGCAGAGGCUGGAGGGAUGGCUCAGCUUUUAGGAGCCCUUGUUCUUGCAGAAGGCCCUUGGUCAGUUCUCAGCACCCUAAUGGAAGAUCAUUUCCUGGGGAUCUCAUACCUUCUUCUGAACUCUUCCAGCAUCAGAAACUCAAUGGCACUACAUUUAUGUAUGUAGGCAAAAUGCACACAGAUAAAAAUGACCCUAAAAUAUAUGUUUUUCAUUGUCAUCAAAUUUACAUUGAGUCUUUUUUUACAAGUUGAUUUUUAAUGAGACCAAGAACCUCAAGAUAUACUGCUGAUUGUUCUGGUAUCAAUGUGUCUUUUUUUAUAAAUGUCAUUUUUGGUUUGUUCCUUGAGACAGGGUUUUUCUGCAAAUUAGCACUGGCUGUCCUCUAAUAAUUUUUUAGACCAUGCUGUCCUUGAACUCACAGAGGUCUAUACACCUCUACCUCCCAAGUACUGGGAUUAUAGGCAUGAACCACAAUGCUAGGCUUCCAGAUGUCUUAAAAUGUAUAUUAACUGUGAGAUGAACUAUUCCGGUUUUUUUUUGGAGUUUUUCUCCUCAUAGGAUAACAAUAUUUGAUCAUUACAAAAAUCCAUAAUGGACUGACAUGGAAAAGUUUGGGAAUCUGGCCAUUUAGUGUGACAUUAGUAAUGAAUACUUUAUCUCUUCCCUUCUUAGUUCUUCAGUCUCUUGUAGACAUGGGUGUGCAUAUAUUCUCGAGUUUAUAUACACCUUAUCACUAUUUGGUGUUGCAUUACCAUAUACUGUAAAGAAGACUCUUGGAAGAUUUUCAAUACUUAAGUUUGUUUUACAUGUUUGUCUUUAGAGUUUGCACACUGAUUUUCUUGUGGUUCAUUUUCUAAUCAUUUGGGGGUAUGUUUCAAAUAGUGUGGAUUUUACCAGUUGGCUGGCCAAAUGUUAUAUAUAAAGGCAAACCCAUCAGAAUACCACCAAACUUUGCAAUGAUGACUUUGGAAGCCAGAAAACCUCAAAAAUGGGACCUAAUCCUCAUUUUAUGGAUGAUGAAAUUAGGGACCAGAAAGGGUACAGGUAUAGCCUAAACUCUGUAGUAAUAGAGUUAUUAUAAAAAAAAGAAAGGCAGUGUUGCUAUAUUGGGAAUUGUUGCUAUAUUUCAUUAGAAAUAUGCUGGUAUGUUUGUAUUUCCAUAAUCGUAUAUGAAGAAAACAAUCAUGUAUUCCUCUCCUUACAGUUUUGUCAUGGGUCUGAUACACCUUUCUCCACAUGCUGUGUGCUGGAAUCUUAGCACCUGCCUCCAAUCUGGGUUAAAAGAACUUUUUUGUCUUUUUGGAUUUUUUCUGUAGUUGUUGUUUGGAUUUUUAAUGUUCCUUGGCUAUUUAGUGACGGCUUUGGAGAAAAAGCUUGCAGUUUCUUCCACACAUGGAUUGUGCAUCUUGGGCAUCUCUCUAAAGAGGUGUUCCACAGUCCUUUAAACAUCCCAUGCUAUGUAUCCAUGGUAGUCGCAGAAGCUCAUAACUAUAAUAGAGAAAUUCCUGAAGGGAGAUACAUUAUUUUCAAAUGCUGAAUCUGUUAAUUGCUGAGUGCCAUCUACACCAUCUUAGUUAUGCUUCUCAAUUGCUUCCCUUCUAAGGAAGGCAUUUAGCUUUGAUGGAAAAGUAUGGAGACAAGGAUGGAGUAUGUCUCGAGAGGCGUUUCCCCUGUGCAGGAACAGUUGCAGAACAUGGUUGUGAUUGAAGUAUGACAUCAAAUUAGCUACCCUCAGGGCAUUUCUUCUGUACCCCUCAUAUUGAAAAUCCUUUCUUUUCCUGUACAAUAUAUCCUGAUUAGAGUUUCCUCUAUCUUUACUACCCCCGGUUCCUGCCCUACUCCCAUGUCAUCCAGUCCCACCCCAUUGGUGAUUCUCAUUAGAAAAGAACAGGCUUCUAGCAGAUGCAACAACACAUCGCAAAAUUAAUCGGACUAAGAUAAAAAAAAACACUAUAGGAUACAGGCUGGACAAGGGAGACAACAGAAUGAAUUUUGGAGAGCAGUAGAGAAGGGAAAAGAAUCAGAGACCCCCCUGGUUCACACAGUCUGGAGUUUCAUGAAGAUGCUAAGCUGAAAGUUUGCUAUGGACACAGAGGACCUGGUGCAGAGCCCUCAUGCAGGCUCUGUGUCUGCUGCUUCAGUCGCUAUGACUGCAUAUGAGCUUUGUUCAAUUAAUUUAGAGUCCGUGUUCUCCUGGUGGCCUCCAUCCCCUCUUGUUCUUACAAGUUUUCUGCCUGUGCCUUUCAGGGUUCUAUGAUCACUGUGAGAAGUGAUUUGAUGGAAACAUCAUAGAGACAUCACUUUAAUGUCUUUUUGUUCCAACGUCUGUCUGUCUGUCUCCCUCUCUCUGUCUUUCUAUUUUUGGUUCUCUGUCUGUUUCUAUCUCUCUUCUCACGUGUCUACACUGGGGAUUCUGUAAUUGUUUCUAGUUGCUGCAAGAUGAAACUUCUCUGAGGAGGACUGAAAUCUGAUGACUAUAGCAGAACACCGUUAGGAUUUAAUUUUUCACUACUGGGGGAAAACCAGCAUUGUUUCCUUUAACACUAUCUAGUGUCUGGUUUGUGGUCAGGAAAGCAGUAUCAGGUAGUGGUACCACGUGGUAGAGUGGCCUUAAUUCAAACCAGACUUUGGUUGAUUAUUCCCAUAAGCUUUGUGCUUCAAUGGCCCUAGCAUUUUUUGUAAGCAGGACUGCAAUGUAGAUCAAAGGACUUUGGCAUGGUUGAGAGUUUUAUUUCUCUUUUGGAAGCCUGAACAGUACCUUCCUAUACUAAAGACACUGUGAUGUAGUAAUGAUGGUUGUAUGUAGGCACAAGCUUGACCUGUCCACAUCCAAUGAGUUCUGUGUGACUAUCCCUCAGCUACGGGCCCUUGCUGUCAGUAUAUGGUUAUAAAACUAUUGUCUAAACAUCUGUCUGAGGUGUUUGUGGAUUUCGACCAGUCGCCUUUAGCCAACAUCUCAACUUUAUGUAAACCAGUCCUGGCAAUGGAAGUUUUGUUUGAUGAGAAGAGAUUUAGAGUGGGAAUCUGUCUCUCCCCAUUAUUUGCAUACAUCAUCAGGAUUGUGUUAUUAUAUUUUGCAAAGACUUUACUGCAAUAGAUUUCCAUACUACCCCUCAAAUCCCCUCAAUUAUACUUGUGUCUCCCUGAAUUCCCUCUCUCAAACCCAUUUCCCUCUGCAUCCCAACCCUAUGCUGCUGUCAUAGCCCCUCCAGUCCACCCAUAAAAUCUUGAAUAUUUCCCACUAUCAGGAAGAUCCUUGUUUCCUUAUAGUCUCUUCCAUUACACAUAGUCUCUCUGGGUGUUUAGGCUGAGGCUUGGUUAUCCUGUUUUUAACCCAUAAUAUCAUCAUAUAAGCAUAUUCAUAUCAUAUUUAUCACCCUGGGUAACAUCACUCACAAUGAUAUUUUUUGCUCCAUCCAUUUGCAUGAAAAUUUCAUGGCAUCAUUUUUUAAACAGCAGAGUAAUGUUUUUGUUGUAUGGGUGCACUAUGUUUUCUUUAACCAUUCUUCAGUCGAGGCACAUCUAGGUAGUUUCGAAUUUGUGGCUAUUAUGAGUCCAACAAGAAUGAACAUGAUUGAGAAAGUGUCAUUUUGGUAGCUGAAGCGUCCUUGUGGAACAUGCCCAAGACUGGUAUCUCUGGAAGGAGAGGUAGAUUGAUUUCCAUGUGGAGUGGUAGUCACUGUAAAUCAAUGGAAAAAAAAUCACAGAGACUGAAUCAGCAAAGACUGGGAUUGAAUGAGUCUGCAACAGGUCUUCUAUGUAUGUAUCGUGCCUUUAGUAUAUUGGGAGUACUUUUUAUUUGUAUUUUGUGGAACCUCUGAUUCUAUGAACAAAAGGGUCUCUGAGUUUUGGGUUUUUUUUAUUUUAUUAAUUCAAGUUAGGGAACAAGCUUGUUUCACAUGUAAG